CAGACGCACGAGAUUAAUCCAACUUCAACGCUUGAUCUAGGACGAUCUAGGCCGAACCAGGCUUAGCUCCAGGUGAUCGAUGGAUUUAUUUGGCGGACGAUUCGUGAGAUUGUUAAUGGAGCUGUUAAGAAGACGCAGCUGGAUUAGAGCGGGUAAUCCUACAGGACAGGAGAACCAGGACGGUGAUCGUGCGGUUAGAGCAAUUGUUAGAGUUUUACAGCAAUUGUAAGUUGUGAGGUGUAUUAUGCUCAUUUAGAGCUUUACAAUAUUGCUUGUGAGAGUGAAUUGUAAUAAUGAACUCGAGGUUUCGA